UACGGAGGGUGCAAGCGUUGUUCGGAAUCAUUGGGCGUAAAGCGCGUGUAGGCGGUUAAAUAAGUCGAGUGUGAAAGCCCCAGGCUCAACCUGGGAAGUGCAUCCGAUACUCAUUAGCUCGAAGAUGGUAGAGGAAGGUAGAAUUCCUAGUGUAGAGGUGAAAUUCGUAGAUAUUAGGAGGAACACCGGUGGCGAAGGCGGCCUUCUGGACCGGGCUUGACACUGAGAUGCGAAAGCGUGGGGAGCAAACAGG
rnacentral:rRNA from 1 species